AAAUCCUUAUCAAAUCCUAGUCAAAUCCUAAACAAAUCCUAAACAAAUUCUAACCAAAUCUUAAUCAAAUCCUAAUCAAAUCCUAAAUAAAUCCUAAACAAAUUCUAACCAAAUUCUAAUAAAAUCCUAACUAAUUCCUAAAAAAAUCCUAACCAAACUCUAAACAAAUCUUAACAAAAUCCUAAAAAAAUCCUAGCCAAAUCCUAAAUAAAUCCUAAUCAAAUCCUAAAUAAACCUUAAACAAAUCCAAAU
rnacentral:lncRNA from 1 species